rnacentral:rRNA from 1 species
CCUACGGGAGGCUGCAGUGAGGAAUAUUGGUCAAUGGGCGCAAGCCUGAACCAGCCAUGCCGCGUGCAGGAAGACGGCCUUAUGGGUUGUAAACUGCUUUUACAUAAGACUAACCGUAUAUUUGCGAAUAUACCUGAAUGUAUUAUGAGAAUAAGGAUCGGCUAACUCCGUGCCAGCAGCCGCGGUAAUACGGAGGAUCCGAGCGUUAUCCGGAUUUAUUGGGUUUAAAGGGUGCGUAGGCUGACUGAUAAGUCAGCGGUGAAAAGCAUAGGCUUAACCUAUGUCUUGCCGUUGAUACUGUCAGACUAGAAUAUAAAUGGAGUAGGCGGAAUGAAUCAUGUAGAGGUGACAUUCAUAGAUAUGAUUUAGAACACCGUUCGCGAAGGCGGCUUACUAAGAUAUAAUUGACGCUGAUGCACGAAAGCGUGGGUAUCGAACAGGCUUAGAUACCCCAGUAGUC